rnacentral:rRNA from 1 species
GAAAUCCCUCGGGAUGUAAACUUCGCAAGAACGGGAAGAAUAAGUAGGGGACAAUACCCCCUAUGAUGACGGUACCGUUUGUAAGCUCCGGCUAACUCCGUGCCAGCAGCCGCGGUAAUACGGGGGGAGCAAGCGUUGUUCGGAUUUACUGGGCGUAAAGGGCGCGUAGGCGGCCAGCACAAGUCAGUUGUGAAAUCUCCGAGCUUAACUCGGAAAGGUCAACUGAUACUGUGCGGCUAGAGUGCGGAAGGGGCAACUGGAAUUCUUGGUGUAGCGGUGAAAUGCGUAGAUAUCAAGAGGAACACCUGCGGCGAAGGCGGGUUGCUGGGCCGACACUGACGCUGAGGCGCGAAAGCUAGGGGAGCGAACGGGAUUAGAUACCCCGGUAGUCCUAGCCUUAAACGAUGAAUGCUUGGUGUCUGGGGUUAUAUAGUCCCCGGGUGCCGUCGCUAACGCUUUAAGCAUUCCGCCUGGGGAGUACGGUCGCAAGACUGAAACUCAAA